UCGCCUCCUAAAGAGUAACGGAGGCGUUCAAAGCUACACUCAAUAUGGUCAGAAACCAUAUGCAGAGCACAAAGGUAAAAGUGUGGUUGACUGCAAGACUUACAAGUCGAGCAGGUGCGAAAGCAGGACUUAGUGAUCCGGCGGUACAUUGUGGAAUGGCCGUCGCUCAACGGAUAAAAGCUACCCCGGGGAUAACAGGCUAAUCUUCCCCAAGAGAUCACAUCGACGGGAAGGUUUGGCACCUCGAUGUCGGCUCAUCGCAUCCUGGAGCUGGAGUCGGUUCCAAGGGUUUGGCUGUUCGCCAAUUAAAGCGGUACGUGAGCUGGAUUCAGAACGUCGUGAGACAGUUCGGUCCCUAUCUGAUGUGGGCGUUGGAAUAUUGAUGAGAGCUGCUCUUAGUACGAGAGGACCGGAGUGGACGUACCGCUGGUGUUCCAGUUGUCUUGCCAAAGGCACAGCUGGGUAGCUAAGUACGGAAAAGAUAACCGCUGAAAGCAUCUAAGCGGGAAGCUUCCUCAAAGAUGAGUAUUCCUUAUGAAAUUCCUUGUAGACUACGAGGUUGAUAGGUUGGAA
rnacentral:rRNA from 1 species